rnacentral:tRNA from 1 species
GUUCCCAUAGCUCAGUUGGUUAGAGCAAAUCACUCAUAAUGAUUAGGUCCUUGGUUCGAGCCCAAGUGGGAACA